rnacentral:rRNA from 1 species
UGAAGGUGAAGUCGUAACAAGGUCUCCGUUGGUGAACCAGCGGAGGGAUCAUUACCGAGUUUACAACUCCCAAACCCAUGUGAACAUACCUACUGUUGCUUCGGCGGGAUUGCCCCGGGCGCCUCGUGUGCCCCGGAUCAGGCGCCCGCCUAGGAAACUUAAUUCUUGUUUUAUUUUGGAAUCUUCUGAGUAGUUUUUACAAAUAAAUAAAAACUUUCAACAACGGAUCUCUUGGUUCUGGCAUCGAUGAAGAACGCAGCGAAAUGCGAUAAGUAAUGUGAAUUGCAGAAUUCAGUGAAUCAUCGAAUCUUUGAACGCACAUUGCGCCCGCCAGUAUUCUGGCGGGCAUGCCUGUCUGAGCGUCAUUUCAACCCUCAUGCCCCUAGGGCGUGGUGUUGGGGAUCGGCCAAAGCCCGCGAGGGACGGCCGGCCCCUAAAUCUAGUGGCGGACCCGUCGUGGCCUCCUCUGCGAAGUAGUGAUAUUCCGCAUCGGAGAGCGACGAGCCCCUGCCGUUAAACCCCCAACUUUCCAAGGUUGACCUCAGAUCA